GAAUAUGAAGCGAUUUAUUGCAAUUAGUUUCGACCUAAUUCUAGAUAUUUAAUAUCCUUAUUCU
rnacentral:tRNA from 1 species